GGAGAGGUGGCCGAGUGGUUUAAGGCGCACGCCUGGAAAGUGUGUAUACGGCAACGUAUCGAGAGUUCGAAUCUCUUCCUCUCCUCCA
rnacentral:tRNA from 1 species